AAAUGAAUUGACGGGGGCCCGCACAAGCGGUGGAGCAUGUGGCUUAAUUCGAUGCAACGCGAAGAACCUUACCAGGGCUUGACAUAUAGCUGCUGGCCGGCCGAAAGGCUGGCGUCCUUCGAGGGUGCUAUACAGGUGCUGCAUGGCUGUCGUCAGCUCGUGCCGUGAGGUGUUGGGUUAAGUCCCGCAACGAGCGCAACCCUUGUGAUUAGUUGCCACUCAUUCAGAAAUGCAUGAAGCACUCUAAUCAGACUGCCCGUGAUAAGCGGGAGGAAGGUGGGGAUGACGUCAAGUCAGUAUGGUCCUUAUGCCCUGGGCUGCACACGUGCUACAAUGGUCAGUACAGAGAGAUGCAAGACCGCGAGGUGGAGCUAAUCUUCAAAACUGGCCCCAGUUCGGAUUGAAGUCUGAAACUCGACUUCAUGAAGCCGGAAUCGCUAGUAAAGGCGCAUCAGCUACGGCGCCUUGAAUACGUUCCCGGGCCUUGUACACACCGCCCGU
rnacentral:rRNA from 1 species